AUUUUAAUAAAUUUUUGUAUUUCAAUAUUCUAAGUGUAAGUAGUCAUUGCUUGGUACCUAAAGUAUCAAUUCACUAGCAAGACUAUCCAAAUCCACACGGCUUAGGAGUUCAGUACUUUGCAGCAUCAGGAUUGAAGAGUCGGAAUUUGAAAUUCAA